UGUACAACUGUCCUCUCUCUCUCUCUUCUCUCCUACUGUCUCUCCUCUCAUCCUCUUUCUGCCCACCUCUCCUCUCUUCCCAUUUCUCUCCUCACCCCAACCGGGCGAGAUGACUGCCCACAACUGAUUCCGGUUCUGUCAGAAAUUUCUUCCUGUAAAAGGGAGUUUUGUGCUUUGCUCAUUGUGGGAUUUGUUGGGUGUUCUCUGUAAUAUUGUAAUAUUGACCUCACUAUGUAAGUGCCUUGUGAGACAAUUCGUGUUGUGAUAUGGCGCUAUACAAAUAAAAUUUAAUUGAAUUGAAUUGAAAAAGAAAAUCCAACCUUUUUAGUUAUUUCAGUGGAGUGAAGUUAAACUGAAGUGAAAGAUUAAGGGAAUAUAUUUUUGCUGAUACCGCUGCAGUGCAAACUUAAAGGAAGGGUAGGUGAUUCCGAAAAUCACCCUAGGUCUGAAGGACCAAGCCAAGCCCCUCCCCCCACAACACAUGAACGAGCACUGCUGCCUGAGUCUGAGUCUGACUGCAUCGGGGGAGGAAGACAGGAGUGGAGCACAACCUGCUAACUGACUGCUCGUGGCUCAUUCACAAGCCAGAAUUCGAGGACUGAGCUUGGAGCAGUGACGUGACACAAGCCUGCUGUUUUAAUACACCUGACAUCAUCAAAUGCUCCUCCACUGGGCCGUCCUGUUGCAGGUCAACCUACUUGUGUCAGAACUGCCCACAGACGUGGAAAGAAAGUGCUGUGGGCAACUUCAUGACUCCUGUGUCCAGGCUGCCACAUAUGGAGGUUUACAUUUUGGACAUAGAGUACUUUGUGCAGUACCAAUGUUUAUUUAUUUAUUUAUGUUCUGCAUAACCUGUUCUAUAUUGUUGGAAUAAAAAUCUUUAAAAUGUU